UAAAUUGAAAUAUUAAAUUAUUCAGAAGUCAGACUUUUGUUCAUCAUGCACCAAAACUCAUACUGAGUUGUUUUAUAUAUUCAUUGAAAUGUCUUCAAUUUUAUUAAUGGACCACCCCAUAAGAAAAUAAUGGACCACCCAAGCUGCAAUUCAAUUCGACCUUAACUUCGGAGCUCAAAUUACUAGGUAGAAAUUUUCUCUGUUCCAAUAUGAUUUUGGAUGUAUG
rnacentral:lncRNA from 1 species